rnacentral:lncRNA from 1 species
GAAAAAUGGUGAUGAACAGAGAAGUGCAAUAAAUAUCACGUUUCAUUUUUUUCUUAUUUUUUUUUCACAAUGGAACUUAUAUAUAUCAAACCAAAUAGCAGAAUCCAUAUACAUAUAAACUAGUCCAGAGUGGAAGAUCAAUCGUGCUAUUCAUAAACCUACAUAGGGGUGACAAUCCAUUUUUUUUUUAAGCCAUACUAUAAGCUAGCUAGUACAAACUUUAUAAAUAAGAAAAAGAAGUAAAAUUUCUUCAAGUCUCAACACACAUAAACCACAGUUAGUACCCCUAG